rnacentral:rRNA from 1 species
GAUCCUGGCUCAGAUUGAACGCUGGCGGCAGGCCUAACACAUGCAAGUCGAACGGUAACAGGAAGAAGCUUGCUUCUUUGCUGACGAGUGGCGGACGGGUGAGUAAUGUCUGGGAACCUGCCUGAUGGAAGGGGAUAACUACCGGAAACGGUAGCUAAUACCGCAUAACGUCGCAAGACCAAAGAGGGGGGACCCUUCGGGCCUCUUGCCAUCGGAUGUGCCCAGAUGGGAUUGGCUAGUAGGUGGGGUAACGG